CGAGUAGGUGGCCAUCUAAGUCAGACGUGAAAUCCCCCGGCUUAACCUGGGAACUGCGUCUGAUACUGGACGGCUAGAGUAUGGGAGAGGGAUGUAGAAUUCCAGGUGUAGCGGUGAAAUGCGUAGAUAUCUGGAGGAAUACCGGUGGCGAAGGCGGCAUCCUGGACCAUUACUGACACUGAACCGCGAAAGCUAGGGGAGCAAACG
rnacentral:rRNA from 1 species